AAAAGGGCACUUUUCAGCCUCAAGUCACUUUCGCUGUGAGAGUUUACUUGACAAGUUCUUCUCAAAGUUGACACUUUUGGACUCAGGCAGGCAUUGUGAGAGCACUCAGAGUGGUAGUUUACCCUUUUAAGAGCAGAUUGGAGCGGACAUCAGCCAAGACUAGAUGUGCGGUUAUGUCUUAAAAGGGAGGGGCUUGAACGGGUGUUCAGUUUUUUUUUUAUCAUUGAGUGUAGUGGAGGACUGACUGCAGACUGGCUCCAUCUCCUCUCCUCUCACUCGACUAAAGAGCUCUACUUUGUCCCGUUAAAAUCCACAGGGCACAAUCAUGGAGGAAAUGGACUUUGAGCGUCGCCGGGAGCUGAGGAGGCAGAAGCGGGAGGAGAUGCGCCUGGAAGCCGAACGGUUGGCGAAGAAUGAUGAUGAUGAGGAGGAGGCGGCCCGCGAGAGAAGGCGCAGGGCCCGCCAAGAGAGGAUGAAGGGCAGGGAGGGUGAUGAGCCAAGCGGACAGCCAGACAGUCUGGUCAUGACCAACAGUCACAGUGUGACAGAGACAGUGUCUGUGAGCAGCUUUUAUGGAGGAGGAGAAGGCGGCGGAGACAACGAAGACCAGGCCCUGCUGGACCGUAUGGCCAAACGAGAGGAGAGGCGGCAGAGACGCAUGCAGGAGGCGCUGGAAAGACAAAAGGAGCUGGACACCACCAGAACAGAGGUGAUGGAGAAAAACAACGCGGAAGAGGAGAGGCCAUCCUCCUGGGGUAGGGGUCGUUACCAUGACAAUGAGGAUGAAGAGGAGAAGACAGAGACGUACAGCUCAAGAAGAGAGGAGAAGGAGCAAGAGGAAGAAGAGGCUGCUCCUGAGGGUGAAGAGGAAGCAGAUGAGGGUUUAGAUGAAGAGGAAGAGCAGAAAGUGGAGGUGGUGGAAGACCAACCGAGAAGGUCUUACUUGAGGGAACAGGAAUCAACCGAAGAACCUAAAAUUCAAAACAAGGAACCCGCUGAAGAAGAAACACAUUCAGUAGUCAGUGAGAUUUCAAACCAGGCCAAUUCAACAAAUCCAAAAUCUGAGGAAGAUGCAGUAGCAUCAGAGGAGGUACCUGAAGAUGAUUAUUUAGAUCAUUCAUCCGAGAAUAAGUCUAUGACUCUCAGAAAUGACACUGAAGAGGACAAUGAGGUAUCUGAGAUACUGCACUCAGAGGAUGAUAAGGAAAAUGAAAGAGGCAGGUCCAGGGUGGAGAGGGAGGAGCAGAGCAAGCUGAACGGAGGGCUGCACGAGGAGGAGGCUGCUCUCAAACAGCACAGGAAACCUGAGAGGACCUUCAGUCGCGGCAGUGUGCGGUCCCCCGAGGUGUUCCCAGGUGACGACCAGGACGACGCUGCCCGCCUUGAGGCAGAGCGCAAGCUGGAGGAGCUGAAGCGUCGCCGCGAUGACGCUGAGAGCGAGGAGUUCGAGAGGAUGAGGCAGAAGCAACAGGAGGCCGAAGCCGAACUGGAGGAGUUGAAGAGGAAGAGGGAGGAGAGGAGGAAGGUGCUGGAGGAGGAGGAGAGGCAGAAGAAGCAAGAGGAGGCGGAGAGAAAAGCCAGAGAGGAGGAGGAGAAGAGGAAGAUGAAGGAGGAGAUUGAAAGGAGGAGAGCAGAGGCAGCUGAGAAGAGACAGAAGGUGGAAGACAAUAUGGACGGGGAAGGCAGACCCUUCAAGUGUGUCAGCCCUCGAGGCUCCUCUUUGAAGAUUGGAGAGAGAGCAGAGUUCCUGAAUAAGUCGGCACAGAAGAGCAGCACUAUGAAGGCAUCUCAUUCUCCUGUGGUGUCCAAGAUAGACAACAGGCUGGAGCAGUACACCUCCGCUGCUCAGCAGAGAGAGAACAAGGAGUCUCGAUCCCCGCGCUCUGGAGCGGUGGAUCUACCAAUGGUUACCGACAGCAUUCGAAACAUCAAGAGCAUGUGGGAGAAAGGCAACGUGUUCGGCUCACCUGGAAGUGGCGGGAGCCCGUUCAAGGAAGCAGCUGUGAUGAAGACAGGCGUGGCGGGUCGCAUUAACGACUGGCUGAAUAAAACCCCGGAGAGCGGCAAAAUGCCAGGAGGAAGGCCAACGGACCUGAAGCCUGUUGAUGUCACCAACAAGAGGAGUCUAUGGGAGAACAAAGGUGCUUCUCCAACCAAGAACUCUCAUAGCUAGUUGACCUCAACGUUAAAUCUGGAAUAAGCCUGGAGAGGUGGCAGGCAGAGGGGAGACCAAAUCAGUCGCCAACGGUAUGGGGCACUAAUGUCUUGAAGGAGCCACUGCAGCUGGGGACCACGACAAUCCAAGACUCUUCCUUUGACUUUGUAUUAAGAACCAAAUAAUGAUCACAUUCCCAAGAGGGACACCAAGAAAACGGAGGGACAGGAGAGACGCUGUCCAAGCACUGUACUGAAACAGCAUCAUAUUUUGUACGGUUGCCACGUAUAGUGCCUUUGCACAAUGAUUUUUGCUUUCUAAAAGAAACAAAAUGCUGUGAAAUUUGGACAAUUGUAAUUACUAUUACUAAUACUUUAUACAAUCCUGCCAGGAAGAAAAGAAAUUGUUAAAUUUAGAUUUUGUUGUACUCUAUGCCGACAGUUUUGAUAGAGACGGAGUAGAUGAGUUAAAAGUUUCCACAUUCCAGAGAGAUGGGUGAAAUCAGUUCCCUCCCUCAUACAGUACAUUUUCCAUCUCUUUUUUUAUUUAUAUUUAAAGCUAAAGCUUCACACAUUGCUAUUUUAUUCAAUGUUCACCAGUUUCAGGAUAGAAAUAUAAGCACUUAGAAUUUAGCUGAUUUCACUUUUAUUAUGUCUUACCAAUAGUGCAGCAAUGGUCUGAGUAAUAUAUGUUAGCACAUGUGAUGUUUUGAAUAUGACCUAUCAUACUGUAUCUUAUAUAACAUCUUUAUACUCGUAACAAAAGGUAUGUUUGUUUUUGUAUCCCGAAACUAUUCACCAACAGGCAGUUAAUUUCGGUGGUGAGGAGGGUUGAAUAAUCAGAAGGCCAUUAUGACUUUUUUAUUAUCCUUAAUGUCAUUUUUAUUUAUGUUUUAAUGUGUUUUGCCUUUUUCUAUUUCUAGCUGUUUUGUAGCUUUUGUACCUGUUUGAUCACUUUAAAAUCUUCAGACAUUCCUCUUAAAAAGCAGGUGCACAAGGUGCCUUUUUUGUAGGUUUGCCAAUGUAAAUAAUUAGCAAACCAACCCUCUUAAAUCUACCUUAACUUCUAAUAAUUACUAACUUCUUCAUUGCCUCUAUGCACACUCUUAUGCUCAAGAAUAAUUUUCUAAUUGAGGGCAUAUAAAGUAACAUCAGGGUGCCUAAGCAAAUAACAAUAAUAGUACAAUACAAGGAUAUUUACCACUAUGUAAGUCUUUUGGCCUUAUGAUUGCAAUAAAAAAAAUCCAUGUAAGCUGAGGUACAGUACACGAUAGCCUCAAAGCAACUCGGUCUGAUAUUAGGACUUAUGACAUUAAGUAGCACAUUCCCUUUCAUAGUUGUUGUGCGGCACAAGCUUUGAUAGUAACGGUUUGACGGGGCAUUAGAUUGAUUGAUGUUACUGCUCAAAAGUCUGACAAUCACAUUCCAUGGCUCCUAAAAAAGAGCAGGGGAGCUUGACCAAAAUAUUUAAAGUGUGAUUUAAUGUGACAUUAUGUUUUUUUUUAAUACAGUGGUUUUAUAAUGCCGUUUUUUUGUUUUGUUUUUUUUGUUUUUUACCACCUUGUGUCCAUGUUAUAUUUUUUAAAAGUUCUUCUAUGUUUAACCAGACACUUGUUUGUGUAGCGCUAAGCCUAUGCAAAACACAAUCUGUAGCCUCUCUAAACGCUCCCAAUGUCAUACAAGUGGGCAGUUACCAACUGGAUGAAUGUUUUAAACAUUGUACGCUUCACUCAACAACAGCAAUAAAGACAUUGAGGUAUUCCA